UACGUAGGGGGCUAGCGUUGUCCGGAAUCAUUGGGCGUAAAGAGCGCGUAGGCGGCCAGAUAAGUCCGGUGUGAAAGUCAAAGGCUCAACCUUUGAAUGCCGCUGGAAACUGUCUGGCUAGAGUCCGGGAGGGGCGAGUGGAAUUCCUGGUGUAGCGGUGAAAUGCGCAGAUAUCAGGAGGAACACCAAUGGCGAAGGCAGCUCGCUGGAACGGUACUGACGCUGAGGCACGAAAGCGUGGGGAGCAAACAGG
rnacentral:rRNA from 1 species